rnacentral:rRNA from 1 species
CCUACGGGUGGCAGCAGUGAGGAAUAUUGGUCAAUGGCCGAGAGGCUGAACCAGCCAAGUCGCGUGAGGGAAGAAUGUCCUAUGGAUUGUAAACCUCUUUUGUCAGGGAGCAAAGUCACCCACGUGUGGGUGUUGGAGAGUACCUGAAGAAAAAGCAUCGGCUAACUCCGUGCCAGCAGCCGCGGUAAUACGGAGGAUGCGAGCGUUAUCCGGAAUGAUUGGGCGUAAAGGGUGCGUAGGCGGCCUGCUAAGUCUGGGGUGAAAGGUACCGGCUCAACCGGUAUAGGCUCUGGAAACUGGCGGGCUAGAGAGCAGGAGAGGGCGGUGGAACUCCAUGUGUAGCGGUAAAAUGCGUAGAUAUAUGGAAGAACACCAGUGGCGAAGGCGGCCGCCUGGCCUGUUACUGACGCUGAGGCACGAAAGCGUGGGGAGCAAAUAGGAUUAGAUACCCUUGUAGUC